UGGGGGAUAUUGCACAAUGGGCGAAAGCCUGAUGCAGCGACGCCGCGUGGGGGAUGAAGGCCUUCGGGUUGUAAACUUCUUUUGCUCUGAACAAGGCAUGCCUUUGGGGUGUGUUGAGUGUAGGGGUUGAUUAGCGCCGGCUAACUACGUGCCAGCAGCCGCGGUAAUACGUAGGGCGCGAGCGUUGUCCGGAAUUAUUGGGCGUAAAGGGCUUGUAGGUGGCUGGUUGCGUCUGUCGUGAAAGCUCAUGGCUUAACUGUGGGUUUGCGGGUGGUACGGGCUGGCUUGGGUGCAGGAGGGGGGGCUGGAAUUCCCGGUGUAGCGGUGGAAUUCGCAGAUAUCAGGAGGAAUACCGGUGGCGAAGGCGGGUCUCUGGGCUGUUACUGAAGCUUGGGAGCGAAAGCGUGGGGAGCGAACAGG
rnacentral:rRNA from 1 species